rnacentral:rRNA from 1 species
UACGUAGGGUGCGAGCGUUGUCCGGAAUUACUGGGCGUAAAGAGCUUGUAGGCGGUUUGUCGCGUCUGCUGUGAAAAUCCGGGGCUCAACCCCGGACUUGCAGUGGGUACGGGCAGACUAGAGUGUGGUAGGGGAGACUGGAAUUCCUGGUGUAGCGGUGAAAUGCGCAGAUAUCAGGAGGAACACCGAUGGCGAAGGCAGGUCUCUGGGCCACUACUGACGCUGAGAAGCGAAAGCAUGGGGAGCGAACAGGAUUAGAUA